GUGCCAGCAGCCGCGGUAAUACGGAGGGUGCAAGCGUUAUCCGGAUUCACUGGGUUUAAAGGGUGCGUAGGCGGGCUUGUAAGUCCGUGGUGAAAUCUCUGAGCUUAACUCGGAAACUGCCAUGGAUACUAUAGGCCUUGAAUUCUGUGGAGGUUUGCGGAAUAUGUCAUGUAGCGGUGAAAUGCUUAGAUAUGACAUAGAACACCGAUUGCGAAGGCAGCAGGCUACACAGCGAUUGACGCUGAGGCACGAAAGCGUGGGGAUCAAACAGGAUUAGAUACCCUGGUAGUCC
rnacentral:rRNA from 1 species